CACUGGAAAUAAAACCCUCGGCAAAGCCCACGUUAACUCCCACCACCUCUCCUCGAUCUUUGCUCCGAUCCCCACGCCCCAUCCACCCACCACCCUUCUUCUUUCCUUCCUCGCUGCAGUCUGCACACUGUCCCAGAAGAACAAACCAAGCCAAACCGCACACGGGAACCGAGAUGAGCUCUUCUCCCAGGAAUGGUUGUCCGGUGGCACCGCUGCCACUCAUUCUACUGAUGUUGCUGCUACUUCUGUCGACUUCCUCGGCGUCCGCGGAGCUGGGUGACGCGAGUGUCAUCAGGCCGCGCGGGGCACGGCGGAUGCUGGUGUCUCCGCCGGCGACGUACGCGUCGAGUCGGCUCAGGGCCGAGCGGCAGCAGAUGCGGGUCGGCGGCGAGAAGAAGCACUUCGACAACGUCGCCGCCAGCUUCGGCCGCCGGAGGAUACCCCAUUCCGGCUUUAAUCCCGUCCAUAACCGAUAAAAUCGAGGAAACGGACUGCACGGUCACGUGACCGGCCGGGGCCGAAGUGGCAAGGGUACAAAGGAUCAGAAGGAAGACACGACGUACAACGGAGAUCCAGCUUAGGGUCGUCGCAUCUGUGUGUAAAAACCUUUUCAAUUUUGUAGUGCUAGUUUUUCUUUUUUUGCAUUUUAUAGAUAUUUCUUGUGUAAGUUAAGUUAGAUGUGUAGCUAGUCGGAUGGGAGAUGGCUGGCCAUGGCAAGCUCUUUUUUUUUCCUCCAUGUUGGUACUUGUUUCAUGGUAGUUCUUUCGUUGAAUUUAGCAGAUGAAGUAUAAGUUGGAUGGUUCAGAAA